AGUUAGUUACGUGGCAACAAGUCGAGGAACUAAAAUAAAACACUUUACCAAAACAAUAAUUAAAGGGAAAAAAGUUUGUCUUCCAAAUGGGUUGUUACUGUUUCCAUUUCCACUUGCAAAGCUUUGUAAACCGCAUCAACACCAAUGAGAAGCUUCCAUGGAUGUUCUCUCUGUGAAGCAAGCAAGAUGUCAUAUUGGUGUAUAUUUUUCUCUCUUGGCAUCAUAUCAAAUCUCCUUGUCUGUUCUCUACUGGCAUAUCUUCAUCUAAUUCAGAAACAAAGAAAGAGGUCUGAACGUGUUAGUUUUGCAAAGCCAGAAACAAAUAUUUAGUAACUUCAAUUGGGAGGGGGCCGCGCGAACGCAGGCCCCCACAGCAACAAAUUAUGAUGUAGGCUCCACCACUUGGGUAGACCUUAGGCUAGCACCCCUCCUAAGUGCAAUGGAGGUCACUUGACUAGGCCAUAGACCUUGAUGAUCAUCCAUUGACCCCAUCCAGGUAAGUAUGUUACAAUGAAUCACACACUUGUUCUUUAUACCUUAUGUUCUGUACUAUUCACUCUAACAAUUCCGAUGUGGUACUUAUUGUGAACAUAUAUUUUGAAAGCGGUAUGUAUUUAUAUGCUGGCAUCACAUGUGAAGAAUUUUACACUAACUCCAUUAGAAUGCAAAUAGAAAAACUUUAUAUAAUAAUAUUGCAGUUAAUGAUUUUUUUUCGCUUCUUAAUCUCAUUUUUCUUUAUGUUUUUCUUGAACAAUUCUGUUUUUCAAAAUUUAAGCUCUAACUCCUUGAAUGCCUAGAGGAUGGAUACCUUGAAGGCUUACAUGAGUUGAAGGGUGCAGUGGUGUUGAAUGUUAUUUAUGUGUUCAUUAUGCAUUUUAUUUGUCUCUUUUCCCAUCUUUUAUGUUGUAUCAGAUAGUACAUUGUUUAGUUUUAGCUCCUUGAAUAUGAGUAUUUGUUUUUGUGCACAUUACAACUAUUCAAUAGUUGCAUCUUUUCUAGAAAUUAAAGUUUUUUAUGCUAAAUAUGCAUUAUUAAUGUUUGACAAUAAGUAAUAUAACAAAGCUGGAAGAAUGAGGAAGAAAGGAAAUGAAAAGAUAUUAGGUGGAAAAAAUGGUAAACAAAAAGUUUCUAAGGAAAGGAAGAAGCCGUAAUGGGUUUGAAUUUACAAAUUGACGACGAAACAGUCGGUGAAGGUUGCAUGUUUGGUGAUGUAUCUGAAAAAAGGACAAGCAGGUUAAAGAAAUUUUGUUUGUAUCGUUUAAAUGAUGAUUUUGUUCGUUAUUGUAGAGGAUUUAUUUUUAGAAGCAAGUAAAAGAAGCAAGGUAUGUGUAGAAGAUUUAUUUUUAAAUUUAGGUUGAAAGACAAUCGGAUGCAUGGUAGCAGAAAUGCAUUAUUGUGUUAAAAAUAAUUUCGAAAAAUGAUCUGAAAU